AACGAACGCUGGCGGCAUGCCUAACACAUGCAAGUCGAACGAGAUCUUCGGGUCUAGUGGCGCACGGGUGCGUAACGCGCGGGAAUCUGCCCUUUGGUUCGGAAUAACAGUUGGAAACGACUGCUAAUACCGGAUGAUGACGAAAGUCCAAAGAUUUAUCGCCAGAGGAUGAGCCCGCGUAGGAUUAGCUAGUUGGGGUGGUAAAGGCGCACCAAGGCGACGAUCCUUAGCUGGUCUGAGAGGAUGAUCAGCCACACUGGGACUGAGACACGGCCCAGACUCCUACGUGAGGCAGCAGUGGGGAAUAUUGGACAAUGGGCGAAAGCCUGAUCCAGCAAUGCCGCGUGAGUGAUGAAGGCCUUAGGGUUGUAAAGCUCUUUUACCCGGGAUGAUAAUGACAGUACCGGGGGAAUAAGCUCCGGCUAACUCCGUGCCAGCCGCCGCCGUAAUAC
rnacentral:rRNA from 1 species